rnacentral:rRNA from 1 species
AGGACGAACGCUGGCGGCGUGCUUAACACAUGCAAGUGGAGCGACGAACCAGGGCUUGCCCUGGGGCAGAGCCGCGAACGGGUGAGUAACACGUGGGUUACCUGCCUUGAUGACCGGGACAACCCGAGGAAAACUCGGGCUAAUACCGGAUGUGCCCGCAAGGGGAAAGGAAGCUUCGGCCUCCGCAUCAAGAUGGGCCCGCGGCCCAUUAGCUAGUUGGUGAGGUAACGGCUCACCAAGGCUUCGAUGGGUAGCUGGUCUGAGAGGACGAUCAGCCACACUGGGACUGAGACACGGCCCAGACUCCUACGGGAGGCAGCAGUGGGGAAUCUUGCGCAAUGCGCGAAAGCGUGACGCAGCAACGCCGCGUGGGGGAAGAAGGCUUUCGGGUUGUAAACCCCUUUCAGUUGGGACGAAGCUUCUCCGGUGAAUAGCCGGACGGAGUGACGGUACCUUCACAAGAAGCACCGACUAACUACGCGCCAGCAGCCGCGGU